UCUGCGCCACCCCCCACCUCGGCCCCAGCCCGCGGCGGCGGCCAGUGAGGAGAAAAACCGAAAUCCACCCUCCGCCGCUGCCGGAGUCAUGGCUGUGCUAGUUGUUUGGGGGAAGCGCUGGGAACUUGGGCAUACAAAGAAUGGCGUCCGUUUACAUAAUGCUUUGUUUGCAUCGCCAGUUUCUUUCGGUUAAACCCGCAGAAACCACACCUCCUAAUGUGUAGCUUUAGCCACGACAACCUUAUCAGAUAUUUAAGACAAUGGGGGUCGCAUUUAUUCAGUGGGUGCCGAACAGCGCUUUCGGAGUUCCUGCGGUUUUCCCCGGUUUACGCCCCAGCUGCUGCCCCUCGGCCCUUUCCCUCUUGGUGCGGUUGCCGCGCCCUGCGCCCUCCGGGGGCGGCCCCCAAACGGCCCCGCCAUCUUGGAGGGCUUUUCCUGCCGGGUGUCUUUACCGCACCUUCCUCUCGUUAAGGAAAGGACGCUUAGAACGCUGGUGGAGCAGUUGUGACUUCUGCCCCUUCCCCGUUCCUUGGGUUAAGCCGGGCAGAGAAGGCCGUGCUCGAAACGUGCUCGGGGUCCGUCAGGGAAGGCAGCUAACGUGGCGGCUCUCCGCCCCCCUCCUCACGGGGGUGGCCGCCAUGUUCCCGAACACAAAAUGGCGACACGUGGCCUGGAUUCGUCGCCAGCGAGAAAUUGGGGUCGGCCCGAAAGCUCUAGAAUGCGCCCCUUUCCGUCCCCGCCCCCCAGCUCAUUCCCUGCCACUCGGGGAUAAAAAACCCCGCAGGCUUGUUCAAACCUCGGCGGACGAACUUUAAUGGUUUUCCUCAUUUAAUUUGAAACGGAACGCGAAUGGUGUAAAAUGGCAUGAAGCCGAGUCUCGCGCUCUUUUAAAUUUAAAUAAUGGAUAAUGGGAGGGGGCAGUGCCAGUGAGUAAUUAGGGUCCUCAGUACAAAGCAUUUAGGGAUCACUGCUUUAAGGGAUGAGGUGGGAAAUUGCUUUUUUCCUAAACCUUCCUAGCACGGGUGGUUGUGGUGGAGAAACCAAGAAGUGGUUAUAGAGCGCUUUUAAAAAAAUGCCAUUUCCAGGAAAGGACCGGGAUGCCUGUGACCUUUUUCACGGACCACCUUGCCCUGAGUUUACGACAUUUGGUGUUCACUUUUAGUUUAAAGGGACAUUUAUUCUGCAUUUAUCAGCCCCAGGUCCUGUGUUAAGCAUUUUACCGCAUACUAGCUUUAAUUUUUACAAUGCUCCUCUGAAGUAGGUGGUAUUACCGUGCGCUCUCUCUCUCUCUCUCUCUCUCUCUCUCUCUCUCUUUCUCUCUCUCUCUCUUUCUUAACAGAUGAAAGCAUUUAGGCCCAGAGAGAUGAAGUGACUAAUUCAGGGUCACACAGUGUGGAGGAUGGAAUUCCAGACCUUCCGAUUUCCUUAUUGGACUGCACUAUCUUGUGGAUACGUGAGCGAACUCCACACCACCCAUUUUACAGAUGAAGUAACUGAGAUGUGGAGCAACUGACUAAAUACUCACUGCCCCACCCCUGGAGCCUCACACAUGACUCUUCACCUCCUACUCAAGUGAUCUAAGCUAAGAAUGACCGCAGAAUGCUAUAUCACUACAUACAGAAUCAAGACAACUUAAAACUAAGUGGAUGUCCAUUGUAGUGGCCACAGGUUCAGCCUCCUAAUGCAUGCCCCUGGCUAUGGCCCCUCCAAAAAGGCACUUUCCCUGCAGUCUCAUCAACAGGUGAAAUAUAAUCUUGUCACUGUAACAAGGUAGUUGAGAAUGUGACUCUGGAGCCAGCCUUCUGGGACCUGAAUUCUUAGCCACUUUCUAGCUUUGUGACCUUGGGACCAAGCUGUCUGUCUGCUCUGCCUGAAAGCCCCUAGCCCUGUCCAGGACUACAACCCCAUUGUCAACCCAGCCUGGAGACUACAGCCUUUGUUUUCCAGCCUCUUUCAGGCCAGAUCCCUUCUCUGAUACUAAGAGACUUCUCUUGCGUCUUACUUCAGGAAGGAAAUGUUUCUUGGUGCUUCCUUCAACACAGGCCCAUUGAACACCUGUUUACCAGUCUCUAUGCUGAAUCACACCAUGUAUUUCACCACUUACUGUAUGCAUUAGUCUAGCCUCCAGCGUUCUGGUCUCUACUUCUGAUCUGGAGUAGAGUGCUAAGGUUUGGAUCCUUUGCCAACAGUCCCAGUGGGAAUUGAGGGAAAUGGAGUUCUCUCAGAAAAGUGAGGUGCUGUCUUCUGAAGUAGGAGGGGCCUUCAGCCUCCAUUCAAAAUGACAAACAACUAGUACCAAGUGAGCAUCUAGAAAGCUGACGCUGCAUCCUGCAAAGUCUCCAAAGCAAGCCAUGUGGAAGGGCAGGCCUGCCCAGAAGCUCCUUAAAGACCUUGUUUCUCCAGAAGAGCUGCCCUCAGCCCUGAAACCUGGCUGACAACAUUGGGUGAUGUCUGCGAGAGUGGGCUCUGCUGACACUCCAGAGAACAGCUGUUCUGAGGAGCCAGAUAGCGUGGGCAAUGAGAGAAAGAGGAAAACCUGGAGAUGCUAAGGAACUUGCCUAAGGUUACACAGCUACUUACUGGCAGUGAGGGGCCUCUUGUUAAACAUGGACCAGCACACUAGUGACUUGACUCUUUGGAAGGCUUCCCAGAAGAGGGUGGGAAUGAUUGCUGGAUAAAAGCUCCCAUCAGUGGAGAGAGGAGGGGGGCAGUGACGACAGCAGAGGUAUUCUAAUGGUUGGUUGGCACUAACUCGUAGAAGAGGGAUUUAAUUUGGUAUCAUUACGAGCAUUAAAAAAGAAGAAAGAAAAAAAAGAAGUCAAAUAGAAAACAUCAGUGUAUAUCACAGGGCGGUGUCACGGGGACGCCAGCAGCAGCAGCAGAAGCCGAGAAGCAGCAGAACGAACGAACGCCAGAGAGCCCAGAGAGAGUAAAGACUUGCUGGGAGCUGGGAGGCUGGCAGGCCUUCCAGCCC